rnacentral:ncRNA from 1 species
UUUUCGGGAGAGAUCUUGUAAAAGGCGCCGAAGGAGCAACCGCCCCGGAAACUCUCAGGCAAAUGGACCGCUAAG